CAUUACCGAGUUAUUCAACUCAUCAACCCUGUGAACAUACCUAAACGUUGCUUCGGCGGGAAUAGACGGCCCCGUGAAACGGGCCGCCCCCGCCAGAGGACCCUUAACUCUGUUUCUAUAAUGUUUCUUCUGAGUAAAACAAGCAAAUAAAUUAAAACUUUCAACAACGGAUCUCUUGGCUCUGGCAUCGAUGAAGAACGCAGCGAAAUGCGAUAAGUAAUGUGAAUUGCAGAAUUCAGUGAAUCAUCGAAUCUUUGAACGCACAUUGCGCCCGCCAGUAUUCUGGCGGGCAUGCCUGUUCGAGCGUCAUUACAACCCUCAGGCCCCCGGGCCUGGCGUUGGGGAUCGGCGGAGCCCCCCGUGGGCACACGCCGUCCCCCAAAUACAGUGGCGGUCCCGCCGCAGCUUCCAUCGCGUAGUAGCUAACACCUCGCGACUGGAGAGCGGCGCGGCCACGCCGUAAAACACCCAACUCUUCUGAAGUUGACCUCGAAUCAGGUAGGAAUACCG
rnacentral:misc_RNA from 1 species